UACAGAGGAGGCAAGCGUUGUUCGGAAUCACUGGGCUUAAAGCGCGUGUAGGCGGCCCGUCAAGUACCUUGUCAAAUCCCUCGGCUCAACCGGGGAAUGGCUGGGUAUACUGACAGGCUUGAGGUUGGUAGGGGUGCCUGGAACUCUAGGUGGAGCGGUGAAAUGCGUAGAUAUCUAGAGGAACGCCCGUGGCGAAAGCGGGGCACUGGGCCACACCUGACGCUAAGACGCGAAAGCGUGGGGAGCAAACGGG
rnacentral:rRNA from 1 species